UUAGAAAAUACUAAAAUAUCCUAUUUCCUCUCCCUCUAUCUCCCCUCAGCCAGUCAGUCCUCACCAACCCCCGAUUCUCCUUCCUUCACGCUAUUCCUUCACGCCGCUUCUCCUCACCAAACCAUAGCAAUUAAAUCACAAAAAACGGAAAAACCCAAAACCUUCGAAUCUCCACAAAUCAAAUCUCUGAAAUCAAAAUCACAAAGAGAAAAAAAUAGCUCAGAAAACCUUCGAAUCUCUCUCGAUCUCCAAAGUCACCUUAUUUGUUUUCCCAAAUUUGAUCGAAGCGACGAACAAGGUCAGUUAUAGUGGAGUUUAGAGUGACAUUCAAGCCAAAGCACCCUAACAACAAAUCUGUUGUUGUUGUUGUGAAAGCUGGUGGUGAGAAGUGGAAGUCUUUGACUGAUGCUACUAUAUACAAGAUAAAGUUUGGCCAAAUUUAUAAACUGUAAGCCGAUGGAGACAGAAUCAGAUGGUGAAACAACAACUUUGUUUCCGAAAGCAGCUAGAUUGAGGAACCUGACAUACUCAGCUCCACUAUAUGUUGAUGUCACAAAAAGAGUAAUCAGAAAAGGACACGACGGUGAUGAACUAACUGAAGCACAUGAGCUUUCAAAGGUUUUUAUUGGAAAGGUUUCGAUCAUGCUUCGUUCAAGUUAUUGUACAUUGUAUCAAAAUUCAGAGAAGGAUCUUACCAGUUUUGGGGGUUUGACAUACAUAAUUGGAAAUUGAUUGUUGAUUUUGGGUAUUUAGAAUCUUUUGCUGAUUUUAUUUGAUGAGGAUUAGGGUUUUUCAUCAUCCGAUUUAAAGUGUUUAUGUUAAAAUUUGAUCAAUUUUAUCAUUGUUUGUUAGUGCAUUUGUUUCUGUUUGAAUUUUUUCAUUUUAGGAUGGUCGAUUUGAUUGUUUAGGGAUGCUGUCAAUUUGAUUGUUGAUGGAUAGCAUGAUUUUAAUGUGAUAAAUUUCUGCAUAACUGUUUUUGGAGUAUCGCGAACUUGAGGUCCUGCUUCUGCAAAUGACGACAACCUAUAGUGUACUUGGACAUGAAUUAUGCUUAAAUUUUCAAUUUUUAUCAUGUUCUUGACAGUUAUAUAUUGAAAGUUCGUACAUUUAUGAUGUGAUUGUUGAAAAUUAGGUUUAGUUUUUGUGCUUACUACGUUGCCUAGAACAACAACUUUACCAAAUGUUGCUCAUUACCUACUUACAAUUUUCUAGGUUAUUAUUCUUCCUAUGAAAUUCAUUAACUUAGGGUGAUAUUCUUUAGGUAUAAGUCAGACUAUGGAAUGUUCCGCUUCUGCAUUGCGGACAGUGAGCAUGACUGGAGGGAAGGAACUGAGCAAUACAAGUUCAUAGAGAACUGCCUUUCAACAACAGAUAGGCUCUUUGCAGCCCAUCAUGUCCUUGGUUAUUCAUCAGACAAAUGGUAUGGGAAAGAGGGCUCAUUUGAAGAGCCAAUGGGGAGAGAAAGCCUUCAAAAGCUAUGGCAGAGAAUGAACUUUAGGAGUUUUAGCAGCUGUGGCAUCAACAAUAACAGACACAGAAGGGUAAUCCAAUGCUACUGCAUCAAAUACUGUCUGCCUGAUGCAAUUAGGAGUUUGAAUUCAUGGAUAUAGUAAUAGAUGGUCAUGAUCUUACUAAUUUCAAAACUGCAUCUUUUGUAAAAGAGAAGAAAAUAAGUAAUA